ncrna:Schmidtea mediterranea microRNA sme-mir-2154 precursor (sme-mir-2154-1)
GAGUGAUUAUUAGAAUUUCAGCUGUACAAUUGGCAUUGUGUAUGAUAAAUGAAUAUAUUAACACAAGUCUUUGUAUAGCUUAUAUUUUUUAUCACUA